rnacentral:rRNA from 1 species
AUUGAACGCUGGCGGCAUGCCUUACACAUGCAGUCGAACGGCAGCACGGGUGCUUGCACCUGGUGGCGAGUGGCGAACGGGUGAGUAAUACAUCGGAACAUGUCCUGUAGUGGGGGAUAGCCCGGCGAAAGCCGGAUUAAUACCGCAUACGAUCUACGGAUGAAAGCGGGGGACCUUCGGGCCUCGCGCUAUAGGGUUGGCCGAUGGCUGAUUAGCUAGUUGGUGGGGUAAAGGCCUACCAAGGCGACGAUCAGUAGCUGGUCUGAGAGGACGACCAGCCACACUGGGACUGAGACACGGCCCAGACUCCUACGGGAGGCAGCAGUGGGGAAUUUUGGACAAUGGGCGAAAGCCUGAUCCAGCAAUGCCGCGUGUGUGAAGAAGGCCUUCGGGUUGUAAAGCACUUUUGUCCGGAAAGAAAUCCUUGGCCCUAAUACGGUCGGGGGAUGACGGUACCGGAAGAAUAAGCACCGGCUAACUACGUG